UCCUACAAUCUCUCCAUGAAAACAGUUUUGAAUUUCAAAUAUUCUCCAUUGCGCUCUCAAUCAACCGUGGAUUCAAAAAUUUCAGUUGUUGAACGUAUACAAUGGAUGAUUACACUCCAGCAACAAGAUUGACAAAAAUUUGAUGAAAAACCAUCCUUUUCUUUGGGUCUAACUCAGGAAUUUGGGGAGGUUGCAGGUUCAAUAGCUAGAUCUAAAGCAACUGGAGAGGUUAGGAUCCAAAUAUAAGAAUGACCCAUUUAGAUCGAAAGGAAUCAGUGGAAAAGCAAAGCAAAUUGGUGUAAUGAUUGUUGAGGGAGGUAUUAAGCAUCAGGGCGAUGCUAGUUCGACAAAGAAGAGGAAAGGAAAAGAAAUUGAUCUUUCCGAUGAACAGGUAGAAUCAAUCGAAGAGGUUAUUUCUGCCGAAUUGUAGCAAGACGAACAUGAAGAAGUUCAGGCAGAGGCGUAUCCAGGAUUUCGGUUAAAUGGGUACACGAUUACGAAGA